UAAGGAAUAUUGGUCAAUGGACGCAAGUCUGAACCAGCCAUGCCGCGUGAAGGAUGAAGGUCCUCUGGAUUGUAAACUUCUUUUAUCUGGGACGAAAACGGGAUUUUUAUCUCAAUUGACGGUACCAGAGGAAUAAGCACCGGCUAACUCCGUGCCAGCAGCCGCGGUAAUACGGAGGGUGCGAGCGUUAUCCGGAUUUACUGGGUUUAAAGGGUGCGUAGGUGGGUUGCCAAGUCCGUGGUGAAAUCUCUGAGCUUAACUCAGAAACUGCCGUGGAUACUGGUGAUCUUGAAUAUCGUUGAGGUAAGCGGAAUAUGUCAUGUAGCGGUGAAAUGCUUAGAUAUGACAUAGAACACCGAUAGCGGAGGCAGCUUACUAAGCGAUCAUUGACGCUGAGGCACGAAAGCGUGGGGAGCAAACA
rnacentral:rRNA from 1 species